rnacentral:rRNA from 1 species
GAUGAACGCUGGCGGCGUGCCUAAUACAUGCAAGUCGAGCGAAGUUUUUCUGGUGCUUGCACCGGAAAAACUUAGCGGCGAACGGGUGAGUAACACGUAAAGAACCUGCCUCAUAGACUGGGACAACUAUUGGAAACGAUAGCUAAUACCGGAUAACAGCAUUAACUGCAUGGUUGAUGUUUAAAAGUUGGUUUUGCUAACACUAUGAGAUGGCUUUGCGGUGCAUUAGCUAGUUGGUGGGGUAAAGGCCUACCAAGGCGACGAUGCAUAGCCGACCUGAGAGGGUGAUCGGCCACACUGGGACUGAGACACGGCCCAGACUCCUACGGGAGGCAGCAGUAGGGAAUCUUCCGCAAUGGGCGAAAGCCUGACGGAGCAACGCCGCGUGAGUGAAGAAGGAUUUCGGUUCGUAAAGCUCUGUUGUUAGGGAAGAAUGAUUGUGUAGUAACUAUACACAGUAGAGACGGUACCUAACCAGAAAGCCACGGCUAACUACGUGCCAGCAGCCGCGGUAAUACGUAGGUGGCAAGCGUUGUCCGGAAUUAUUGGGCGUAAAGCGCGCGCAGGUGGUUUAAUAAGUCUGAUGUGAAAGCCCACGGCUCAACCGUGGAGGGUCAUUGGAAACUGUUAAACUUGAGUGCAGGAGAGAAAAGUGGAAUUCCUAGUGUAGCGGUGAAAUGCGUAGAGAUUAGGAGGAACACCAGUGGCGAAGGCGGCUUUUUGGCCUGUAACUGACACUGAGGCGCGAAAGCGUGGGGAGCAAACAGG